rnacentral:rRNA from 1 species
UACAGAGGUGGCAAGCGUUGUUCGGAUUUACUGGGCGUAAAGGGUCCGUAGGCGGUUCAGAAAGUCAAAUGUGAAAGCCCACAGCUCAACUGUGGAACUGCAUUUGAAACUUCUGGACUAGAGUAUGAGAGGGGUAAAGGGAAUUCCCGGUGUAAGGGUGAAAUCUGCAGAGAUCGGGAGGAACACCAGUCGCGAAGGCGCUUUACUGGCUCAUUACUGACGCUCAGGGACGAAAGCUAGGGUAGCAAAC